rnacentral:rRNA from 1 species
GACGGAAGGUGCAAGCGUUGCUCGGAAUCACUGGGCGUAAAGGGUGCGUAGGCGGCUUGGUGGGUCUGGUGUGAAAGCCCCGGGCUCAGCCCGGGAAGGGCGCUAGAAACUGCCGAGCUCGAGUGCCGGAGGGGAGAGUGGAAUUCCUGGUGUAGCGGUGAAAUGCGUAGAUAUCAGGAGGAACACCGGUGGCGAAGGCGGGACUCUGGGCCGAUACUGACGCUGAGGAGCGAAAGCGUGGGGAGCAAACAGG